ensembl:lncRNA
GUGUAACCCAGAGUAAAAUCUGUUUUACUAGCAUUUAGUAAUUUCCUGCACUUAUUUCCUGCCAUUGAACGCAUCACAAAUACAUGACUCCAACCACAUGACUUUGCUCAGCCAAUCGGAUGGCAUGUAGGUCAUAGUAAGCCUGUCCCGGCUUCCUCCCGUCAGAUGCGUGGAGGCAAGCCAGGUGACAGAGCUGUUGCAGGCCAGGUGAACCUUUUUGGGUAUGAAAAAGGAUGGCGGGCCAAUGAACGGCUAGGAGCAGGACUCAUUCUGCAUUGAAGCUUCCACUGGUUGGAGGCGGCGGCGAGAGGGGAGACCUCGGCUCAUCCAGCUGGACAGCCUGACCAGGAGGAGCCGAACAUUAACUCGGGUCUUCCAGGGCACCCUGCAGACUCGGCUGCUGGCAUUGGCGAGAGAGUGCGGCCGCGGCUGGGAUGACGUGAACGCCAAACAGGAGUCCAUCACAGCUCCUUGUCUCAGAGUGGGAGGGGUUUGAAGCACAAAGGGAGGAGCUUGUCAUUUGGUUGGCUGUUAUGGAUGUCCACCUGAGUGAGGUUGACCAGCUGACAG